AUUAAAGUUGUUGCGGUUAAAAAGCUCGUAGUUGGAUCUCGGUUUCACUCAGGUGGUACACCUUGCGGUGUUCACUAUCUGGGUGGACGUUUCUGUUGGUUCGCUCUUGGUGCUCUUCAUCGGGUGCCAUUUGGUGGCCAGCACGUUUACUUUGAAAAAAUUGGAGUGCUCAAAGCAGGCGUUACAGCCUGAACAUUAGUGCAUGGAAUAAUGGAAUAGGAUCUCGAUUCUAUUUCGUUGGCUUUCGGAGUCGAGGUAAUGAUUAAUAGGGACAGACGGGGGCAUUCGUACUGCGACGUUAGAGGUGAAAUUCUUGGAUCGUCGCAAGACGAACUACUGCGAAAGCAUUUGCCAAGAAUGUUUUCAUUAAUCAAGAACGAAAGUUAGAGGUUCGAAGGCGAUCAGAUACCGCCCUAGUUCUAACCAUAAACGAUGCCAACCGGCGAUCCGUCGUCGUUAAUUGAAUGACUCGACGGGCAGCCUCCGGGAAACCAGAGUGUUUGGGUUCCGGGGGAAGUAUGGUUGCAAAGCUGAAACUUAAAGGAAUUGACGGAAGGGCACCACCAGGAGUGGAGCCUGCGGCUUAAUUUGACCCAACACGGGAAAUCUCACCAGGCCCGGACACCGGAAGGAUUGACAGAUUGAGAGCUCUUUCUUGAUUCGGUGGGUGGUGGUGCAUGGCCGUUCUUAGUUGGUGGAGCGAUUUGUCUGGUUAAUUCCGAUAACGAACGAGACUCUGGCCUACUAACUAGAAGGUCUAUCCUUUAUGGGUAGACCUCUGCUUCUUAGAGGGACGGGCGGCGUUUAGCCGCACGAGAAUGAGCAAUAACAGGUCUGUGAUGCCCUUAGAUGUUCUGGGCUGCACGCGCGCUACACUGAAGGAAUCAGCAUGUUCUCCCCUCCCUGAAAAGGGCGGGUAACCCGUUGAAACUCCUUCGUGAUGGGGAUUGGAGAUUGUAAUUAUUCUCCAUGAACGAGGAAUUCCCAGUAGGCGCGAGUCAUCAGCUUGCGUCGAUUACGUCCCUGCCCUUUGUACACACCGCCCGUCGCUACUACCGAUCGAGUGAUUUAGUGAGGACUUCGGACUGGUCUUCAAGUUGGCUUCGGUCGGCCCGAAGUUCCGGAGAGAUGCCCAAACUUGAUCACUUAGGGGAAGUAAAAGUCGUAACAAGGUUUCCGUAGGUGAACCUGCGGAAG
rnacentral:rRNA from 1 species